AGAUAGAUGACCGAGCGGUUUAAGGUACCAGUCUUGAAAACUGGCGUGCGAAUAGCACCAUGGGUUCGAAUCCCAUUCUAUCUG
rnacentral:tRNA from 1 species